AAGAAUAUAACUCAGUUGGUAGAGUGCUGCCUUGACGUGGCAGAUGUCAGCGGUUCGAGUCCGCUUAUUCUUA
rnacentral:tRNA from 1 species